GGGGCCUGCGGAGGGAUCAUUACCGAGUUUACAACUCCCAAACCCAAUGUGAACGUUACCAAACUGUUGCCUCGGCGGGAUCUCUGCCCCGGGUGCGUCGCAGCCCCGGACCAAGGCGCCCGCCGGAGGACCAACCAAAACUCUUUUUGUAUACCCCCUCGCGGGUUUUUUUAUAAUCUGAGCCUUCUCGGCGCCUCUCGUAGGCGUUUCGAAAAUGAAUCAAAACUUUCAACAACGGAUCUCUUGGUUCUGGCAUCGAUGAAGAACGCAGCGAAAUGCGAUAAGUAAUGUGAAUUGCAGAAUUCAGUGAAUCAUCGAAUCUUUGAACGCACAUUGCGCCCGCCAGUAUUCUGGCGGGCAUGCCUGUCCGAGCGUCAUUUCAACCCUCGAACCCCUCCGGGGGGUCGGCGUUGGGGAUCGGCCCUGCCUCUUGGCGGUGGCCGUCUCCGAAAUACAGUGGCGGUCUCGCCGCAGCCUCUCCUGCGCAGUAGUUUGCACACUCGCAUCGGGAGCGCGGCGCGUCCACAGCCGUUAAACACCCAACUUCUGAAAUGUUGACCUCGGAUCAGGUAGAAUCCCCGAAC
rnacentral:rRNA from 1 species